GUUUGCCCUGCAGAUGCUUUUCCAUAUUGUCCAUAUCAAAAAGGUCCAUCAGGGCUGGCACUGAGCCCCUGGAUGAUCAGUGUCAAGGGCUCUCUAUGGAGCAAUGCAAGAGAAAAGGCUGGAAAAGUGAGGAAGCGACAAUAUGGAACUUUGGAGACAUAGCACACACGGUUAACAAGGAGGUAACUUGGAAGUUUUUCCAAGUGUGUACUUAAUUUCCACUAAAGACUUUAUGCUGCAUAAAAUUCUGUUAUUAUCCACCUACUAUUAUGGAAUUCUGUAGAGGUUUGGAAUUGUGGAGAGGAGAGAGAACUCCUGUGGUACAGAAUGGCUCCAACAGUCAGAGGUUGCCAGGCUGAAGUGCAACAAUCUCCACUACCAGAAAAGAGGUGCAGAAUAAAGUAAGACACUGCAGUUUCUGCUUUAUCUACAACAUGAGGAAGCCAUUCCAUUGAAGUGAGUGGGCCACUGUUGAUAGUGGUUGAUGUCACUGAUUUUGUCACGUACUAUCUGGACUCUGAAAUUAGUCAAAUACACAGAAAUAGUAUUUGUUUGUGAUGAUGUAACAAAUAUCUGAUAGUCCUGAAUUCUCCUAUAGUGACUGGCAUGGCUUCAGCUUUCAGCAGUAAGCAGGGAGUGCUGAAUCACCGACCCCUUCCCAAGCGGAGUUUGUCUAAAAAUGAGCUGUUACUGAGGCUUUUCAAACAAGUGUUCCUUUCUUUACCACUGUGUUCCUGGGAACCAACGGUGGGCUUGGGAACCAUCACAAGUGCUCUGAAGACAGCAGUGGUUGUUAAUCUGUGAGGUGUCCAGUCCAAUCCACACGAGCAGGAAGAAACUCUUAACUUGGCUUGUUUGCCUACAAAACUGCAACUGAAAUCCUGCCAUGUUUUAUCUGGUAGGUGUGAGGAAAGCACAGCUCAUGUAGAUGGUUUGCAGUGUGAUCCUCAAACACGUAACUAUGCCAGAAAGUCAACAGUUAUUAAAGAAAAUGAAGUUUGGCUUGGCAAAUUACACAAGAGUUGAUGUUAUUGUUUCAUAUCCUUUGCAUAUAUUUGCUCAAGACUAUUUUGGGAAGAUGUGCUACGGAGUGAAUUCUUGAAACCUAUCACUUCUCAAUGAAUGGUACUUUUCUUUCUACAACUUUAAGAACAAAACUAAGGUCAUCUGCAGAUGGGAACAUGUGUAAGAACAGCAAAAUUAUUUUGGAAGAUAAACAAAACCUAAGUCAGGCAAUUCAAACCAACUUGUCUAGCAGGAGAGUAUGACAUCAAGAAACCGAGACUGACCCAUGAAAGAAAACAUUCCUUACUCCUUGCUCACUAUGGAAUUCUUAAUUUCCUUCAAUAGUAGGCAAAGAAUUUAACAAGUCAGACUCUGUAUUAGGCAAGUGAUGACCAAGACAAUUAACACAAAUUAAUGAGGAAAAGUCAUUGUGCCUUCUUGAAAAUAACAAAUCAAUAUUUUAUCAACAUUUUGACCCAUUUAAGUGAAAAAAUAUUAAACUGAUCAUUUCAUGCCUUUUGUAAGCUAUUUAGGGGAAAUCUUCCUCUAUAAUUUAAGAUGCAGAUUGCAAUAAAAUACAUAAUUCAUUAGAAAUUGGUUUUGCAUAUUUCCUACAUUCUUUUUUAUUGCAACUUAUCUGUGUCUUACUGAUAUAUUUUCCCUUAGGUAGCAAGUGUCUGAGUGCAAUAACGUAGCUGAGGUCACCACUAGUUUCCUGAAAAAAAUACCACCUUCCUUAAAGUUUCCUGAAAGGUCCACCACUAAUUUCCUUUACUGAACACUUACACUGCACUUCAUGCAUUACCUGUCUAAAAAGGUCAUAAUAAAGUCUGGACUUCCACGAACUCAUUCAGUAUAAAUUGUUUUAAAGAAAUCCAGCACAGCCUUUUUAACCUAAGCACUACCUGGUGGUACAAUUAAAGUAGUGUUUAAUGCCCAUGAUUUAGAACUGAAAAGCUUUAUUUCGAAGUACCCAACACCAGCAAGCAGCCCCCCUUCCCUCUUCUCUGACAGACACAGUAACCGGGCUCGGGACCUCAGCAUCACAGAAUUGUUCGGGCUGGGUCGGAGCUCUGGAGCUCUCCCAGUGCGACCCAUCGGCCAGGGCCGGGGCGCCUGGAGCAGAUGACACAGGAACGUGUGCAGGGGGGUUCUGAAAGCCGCCAGAGAGGAAAAGUCCGCGCCCUCCCUGGGCAGCCCGUUCCAGUGCUUUGCUACGCACAACGUAAAGUUCUUUCUCGUAUGGAGGUGGAACUUGUGGUUUAGUUUACGGCGAGUGCUCCUCGUCCUGCCGUUGCAAAGACCCGGGCACCCGCCUCGGGGAUACCUAUAUGCAUUAAUUGCAGGGAAAACCACAAACACGGCGGAGGCGCACAAAGCCCCCGGAAAGAAACAUCGUCUCUUGAACCCGCAGCAGGCAUUUAGCGGGCGAGGACCCUGCCCAGCUUGUGCCCCGCGAGGAGCCGGGCACAGGAGGGGUCGGCACCGCCAUGCCGGCCACCCCUCACGGCAGUGCCCUGGUUCGCGCCUCAUGGCUGCGACCGGGCAGGGCUGCGCCGCACCCCUCAAACGGACCCCUCCAUGAGGAGAGCGCUAGCCCCCACGGGCCCGGGAGCAGACCCGGGAACGAAAAUCAGGACGAAGCACAGGCACCCCAGUCGGGCGAGCGCGC